AACGAACGCUGGCGACAUGCCUAACACAUGCAAGUCGAACGAGACCUUCGGGUCUAGUGGCGCACGGGUGCGUAACGCGUGGGAACCUGCCCUUAGGUCCGGAAUAACGCCCCGAAAGGGGUGCUAAAACCGGAUAAUGUCCUCGGACCAAAGAUUGAACGCCUUUGGAUGGGCCUGCGUGGGAUUAGCUUGUUGGUAGGGUAAAAGCCUACAAAGGCGACGAUCCAUAGCUGGUUUGAGAGGAUGAUCAGCGACACUGGGACUGGGCCACGGCCAAGACUCCUACGGGAGGCAGCAGUGGGGAAUAUUGGACAAUGGGCGAAGGCCUGAUCCAGCAAUGCCGCGUGAGUGAUGAAGGCCUUAGGGUUGUAAAGCUCUUUUACCCGGGAUGAUAAUGACGGUACCGGGAGAAUAAGCUCCGGCUAACUCCGUG
rnacentral:rRNA from 1 species